AUUGAACGCUGGCGGCGUGCCUAAUACAUGCAAGUCGAACGCAGGGGGGACGGGUGAGUAACACGUGGGUAACCUCCCAUCAGAGGGGAUAACCCUUGGAAACAGGUGCUAAACCGAUAUUGAUGGAUGGACCCGCGGGGCAUUAGCUAGUUGGUGGGGUAACGGCUCACCAAGGCGACGAUCCGUAGCUGGUUUGAGAGGACGACCAGCCACACUGGAACUGAGACACGGCCCAGACUCCUACGGGAGGCAGCAGUGGGGAAUAUUGGACAAUGGGGGAAACCCUGAUCCAGCCAUCCCGCGUGUACGAAGAAGGCCUUCGGGUUGUAAAGCACUUUUGGCAGGGAAGCGGUACCUGCAGAAGAAGCACCGGCUAACUACGUGCCAGCAGCCGCGGUAAUUC
rnacentral:rRNA from 1 species